CAGUCGCCACGGUAAUACAGAGGGUGCGAGCGUUAAUCGGAUUUACUGGGCGUAAAGCGUGCGUAGGCGGCUUUUUAAGUCGGAUGUGAAAUCCCUGAGCUUAACUUAGGAAUUGCAUUCGAUACUGGGAAGCUAGAGUAUGGGAGAGGAUGGUAGAAUUCCAGGUGUAGCGGUGAAAUGCGUAGAGAUCUGGAGGAAUACCGAUGGCGAAGGCAGCCAUCUGGCCUAAUGCUGACGCUGAGGUACGAAAGCAUGGGGAGCAAACAGGAUUAGAUACCCCGGUAGUCCCUGUCUCUUAUAC
rnacentral:rRNA from 1 species